rnacentral:rRNA from 1 species
UGGGGAAUUUUGGACAAUGGGCGCAAGCCUGAUCCAGCCAUGCCGCGUGCAGGAUGAAGGCCUUCGGGUUGUAAACUGCUUUUGUACGGAACGAAACGGCUCUUUCUAAUAAAGAGGGCUAAUGACGGUACCGUAAGAAUAAGCACCGGCUAACUACGUGCCAGCAGCCGCGGUAAUACGUAGGGUGCAAGCGUUAAUCGGAAUUACUGGGCGUAAAGCGUGCGCAGGCGGUGAUGUAAGACAGUUGUGAAAUCCCCGGGCUCAACCUGGGAACUGCAUCUGUGACUGCAUCGCUGGAGUACGGCAGAGGGGGAUGGAAUUCCGCGUGUAGCAGUGAAAUGCGUAGAUAUGCGGAGGAACACCGAUGGCGAAGGCAAUCCCCUGGGCCUGUACUGACGCUCAUGCACGAAAGCGUGGGGAGCAAACAGGAUUAGAUACCCUGGUAGUCCACGCCCUAAACGAUGUCAACUGGUUGUUGGGUCUUCACUGACUCAGUAACGAAGCUAACGCGUGAAGUUGACCGCCUGGGGAGUACGGCCGCAAGGUUGA